UCCACCAUCUAUCUGGGUAACUGAGACAGCUGUUAAGUGCCCAUGGUAGGGUCACAUAGAGACUGAAGAUGCAUGGCCAAUUGAUGAUUCCCAUUGUUCAGAGAGGGAGCGGGGCUGCACCGGAGGUGUCAACAUACUCAGAUCUGUGCCCAGUUUCAACUUAGGAAUUAUUUACCUCUGGAAUUCAGUCAUUGUUUGGACUAUGAUCGACUGUGAUAACUGAAACCAUACAAAAGGAAGUAAAGGAAAAGCGGCCAACUGAGAGUUACCAUUGCAGCCAUUGGUUUGUGGUUGCUGAUCCCAGCUUUCUCCAUCAGUAAUUUUGAAGGUCACAGAAGAUGAAUUGGGAGACAUAAGCUGUUCUCUUAUCUUGCAUACUUGAAGAACGCCAUUUUAUCUCAGGUUCCUGAGGACCUUGAAGGUCAAAACUCUGCUCAUAUCAGCGAUAAUGGAAGACAGACCUUGUAUACCUCAUUAACUUUCAUCAGAGCCCCUGGGUUUCAGAAGUCCACCACGAGCAGCCAAGUUGGCCUGGAAACUGCACAGCUGACAGUGGCCUGAGGAAAAGGGAUUGACAUCAAAACUUGACAAAGAGCCUCCUUGCCCAGGGACAGCAGUGAGUGUGGGGGUGGGGGUGGGGGGGGCAGGGAACUCUUAUUCUACAGCUUCAUCAGACCCUGACUAGGUAUUGCUGAGAGGCAUGAGGAGAGGAACUGUACAACCUCAUUAACAAUGUCACAAACAAAAAAAUAUUCCAAAAUGAUUAACAAGCUGAACUCGUUCUCCCGCUGGGCAUGUUCACAUUUGAGUGGGCCAAUCACAGAAGGAUGUUCACAUCUUCAGCAUAUGGGAGUUACUGUCGGAGGAAAGCAAUUACCACACUACACUCUUCCAAAGCUGCUUUGGGCUACAAAAAGCAGCAUUAGUUGAUGGAGA